rnacentral:lncRNA from 1 species
UCAACCAAAAACCAUCGCCACAAAUCCGGGAGCUCCGUCCCACCUUUUGAUCUCGUGGCCCCCCGAUUCCUCCGAUACCGCCCUCCUCCUUUUCAAACCGAUUCGUUCGAGGAUGUUCGGUCGUCUUUCCUAUUAGCUAUUUAUACACGCGCUCGCCAGCCCUCGAAGCUCUCCUUCUCCAAGCUCUGCUCCAUGAUCGAGAACCGCCUAUUCGAACAAAACCAUUCCGCACGGCGACUCGUUUUCUCGGAUAAUCGAUCCAGAAUUAGGCUGGACAGAUGAUCGGGCAAGCAGGCGGCCACCAGCCGACGGCGGGUCGGGAUCAGAAGAAGUGCAAGUUCGAGGCCGUGUUCAAGUCGAUGCAGCAGGCGCGGCCUGCCACGGCAGGGCCAGUCGGCGGCAGCGGUGCAGCGCAGCCGAAGAAGAGCGAGAGGGAGGCGAACACGGCGGACGCAGCGGAGGAGGAGAGGAGGAGGAGAGAGAGGAUGGAGUUCCUGCUGCAGUUGGUCUGCUGGGGACCUGAUUAGAGAUUUCGCAUCAAGCGAAGCGAAGCGAGCGUUUGUGCUUUCUCAGAUGGUGAUCCUAGAAUCUGUAGACCGAAUACGUCACAAUAUGUAUACUUAUUAAUAUCGUUCUCUAUUUUCAAUAUAUAUACACGAAAUGAUUUGAUUUCAAUGAUUAUAUACGUAUUCAUACAAAUUGAAGAGCGCGGGAUUCACACGGACCCGGUUGAUAUGGGCCGGGCUGAGCCCGCUAACGAGACAUGAGCCCAAUAGCAAUGGCCCAACGCCCACGUGGACCAGC